rnacentral:rRNA from 1 species
UCUACCUCCGUGUGCGUCGUCGAGUCUCAGAGAGUUUGAUCCUGGCUUAGAACGAACGCUGGCGGCGCGUUUAAGCAUGCAAGUCGAGCGGCAAGGGCCUUCGGGCCCUAGAGCGGCGGACGGGUGAGUAACACGUGGACAAUCUGCCCCCCGGCCGGGAUAGCCCAGGGAAACCUGGAUUAAUACCGGAUGAGACGGGACCCGCGAUGGCGGGAUCCGGGAAAGGCGCUGCGGCGCCGCCGGGGGAUGAGUCUGCGUCCCAUUAGCUAGACGGCGGGGUAACGGCCCACCGUGGCGACGAUGGGUAGCCGGCCUGAGAGGGUGGACGGCCACAUUGGAACUGAGACACGGUCCAGACUCCUACGGGAGGCAGCAGCUAAGAAUCUUCCGCAAUGGGCGAAAGCCUGACGGAGCGACGCCCGCGUGAACGAAGAAGGCCGUGAGGUUGUAAAGUUCUUUUCGGGAGGGGGAACAACCGUGGCAGGGAAUGGCCGCGGGAUGACGUGAAUCCCGGAAUAAGCCCCGGCUAACUACGUGCCAGCCGCAGC